GACGAACGCUGGCGGCGUGCUUAACACAUGCAAGUCGAGCGGGGUGAUGGUGCUUGCACUAUCACUUAGCGGCGGACGGGUGAGUAAUGCUUAGGAAUCUGCCUAUUAGUGGGGGACAACAUCUCGAAAGGGAUGCUAAUACCGCAUACGUCCUACGGGAGAAAGCAGGGGAUCACUUGUGACCUUGCGCUAAUAGAUGAGCCUAAGUCGGAUUAGCUAGUUGGUGGGGUAAAGGCCUACCAAGGCGACGAUCUGUAGCGGGUCGGAGAGGAUGAGCCGCCACACUGGGACUGAGACACGGCCCAGACUCCUACGGGAGGCAGCAGUGGGGAAUAUUGGACAAUGGGGGGAACCCUGAUCCAGCCAUGCCGCGUGUGUGAAGAAGGCCUUAUGGUUGUAAAGCACUUUAAGCGAGGAGGAGGCUACUUUAGUUAAUACCUAGAGAUAGUGGACGUUACUCGCAGAAUAAGCACCAGCUAACUCUGUGCCAGCAGCCGCCGUAA
rnacentral:rRNA from 1 species